CGUGGGGCAAGCGUACACAUGCAAGUCGAGCGGAACGAUCCUAGCUUGCUAGGAGGCGUCGAGCGGCGGACGGGUGAGUAAUGCAUAGGAAUCUGCCCGGUAGUGGGGGAUAACUUGAGGAAACUCAAGCUAAUACCGCAUACGCCCCAAGGGGGAAAGCAGGGGAUCUUCGGACCUUGCGCUAUCGGAUGAGCCUAUGUCGGAUUAGCUAGUUGGUGAGGUAAUGGCUCACCAAGGCCGCGAUCCGUAGCUGGUCUGAGAGGAUGAUCAGCCACAUCGGGACUGAGACACGGCCCGAACUCCUACGGGAGGCAGCAGUGGGGAAUAUUGGACAAUGGGCGAAAGCCUGAUCCAGCCAUGCCGCGUGUGUGAAGAAGGCCUUCGGGUUGUAAAGCACUUUCAGCGAGGAAGAACGCUUGUGGGUUAAUACCCCGCAAGAAGGACAUCACUCGCAGAAGAAGCACCGGCUAACUCCGUGCCAGCAGCCGCGGUAAUACGGAGGGUGCAAGCGUUAAUCGGAAUUACUGGGCGUAAAGCGCGCGUAGGCGGCUUGAUAAGCCGGUUGUGAAAGCCCCGGGCUCAACCUGGGAACGGCAUCCGGAACUGUC
rnacentral:rRNA from 1 species